rnacentral:rRNA from 1 species
UACGGAGGGUGCAAGCGUUAAUCGGAAUUACUGGGCGUAAAGCGCGCGUAGGCGGCUUGGUCAGUCGGAUGUGAAAUCCCUGGGCUCAACCUGGGAACUGCAUUCGAUACUGCCUGGCUAGAGUGUGGGAGAGGGUGGUGGAAUUCCCGGUGUAGCGGUGAAAUGCGUAGAUAUCGGGAGGAACAUCAGUGGCGAAGGCGACCGCCUGGCCCAACACUGACGCUGAGGUGCGAAAGCGUGGGUAGCAAACAGGAUUAGAAACCCUAGUAGUCC